UACAGAGGGUGCGAGCGUUAAUCGGAAUUACUGGGCGUAAAGCGCGCGUAGGCGGCUUUGCAAGUCGGGUGUGAAAUCCCCAGGCUUAACCUGGGAACUGCAUUCGAGACUGCAUUGCUAGAGUAUGGGAGAGGGAAGUGGAAUUUCCGGUGUAGCGGUGAAAUGCGUAGAUAUCGGAAGGAACAUCAGUGGCGAAAGCGGCUUCCUGGUCCAGCACCGACGUUCAGGCACGAAAGCGUGGGGAGCGAACAGG
rnacentral:rRNA from 1 species